GACGAACGCUGGCGGCGUGCCUAAUACAUGCAAGUUGAGCGCUGAAGGUUGGUACUUGUACCAACUGGAUGAGCAGCGAACGGGUGAGUAACGCGUGGGGAAUCUGCCUUUGAGCGGGGGACAAAAUUUGGAAACGAAUGCUAAUACCGCAUAAAAACUUUAAACAAAAGUUUUAAGUUUGAAAGAUGCAAUUGCAUCACUCAAAGAUGAUCCCGCGUUGUAUUAGCUAGUUGGUGAGGUAAAGGCUCACCAAGGCGAUGAUACAUAGCCGACCUGAGAGGGUGAUCGGCCACAUUGGGACUGAGACACGGCCCAAACUCCUACGGGAGGCAGCAGUAGGGAAUCUUCGGCAAUGGACGAAAGUCUGACCGAGCAACGCCGCGUGAGUGAAGAAGGUUUUCGGAUCGUAAAACUCUGUCGGUAGAGAAGAACGUUGGUGAGAGUGGAAAGCUCAUCAAGUGACGGUAACUACCCAGAAAGGGACGGCUAACUACGUG
rnacentral:rRNA from 1 species